CGUGCUUGGUCUAUACAGGGCCUUUUCUGCGUGUAACAGCCUGCUGUGGCUUAUCACUCAACGGCGAGCGCAGCACUAUCCUACAGCAAGAACGGACACAGCGCAGCUGCGGACAUGUUGAAAUUUAUUAUUUCUUUCGGCGCUGGAGUCUACGCGGGCGUUUAUGUAGCACAGAACUAUCAGGUGCCCCGUGUUGAUGAGCCACAAGAACUUUGGCGAAAGAUAAAGGACUUUGCUGAUCAGUACAGGAAGUCUCCCCCUGGUGUCUAACAUUCCAAUAUUUGUAUAGCUCUGGUUCCAACUUCUUAAUGUGCUGCACUGGAUGCAGUCUAUGCAUUUGCAUUUCAUGUUCUUGUGUUACAUGGGAACUUAAGUCUACAAUAGACGUAUCACAUAUGACCCCUGCCUUUACUGCAGCU
rnacentral:lncRNA from 1 species